GAUGAAGAACGCAGCGAAAUGCGAUAAGUAAUGUGAAUUGCAGAAUUCAGUGAAUCAUCGAAUCUUUGAACGCACAUUGCGCCCGGCAGUACUCUGCCGGGCAUGCCUGUUCGAGCGUCAUUUCAACCCUCAAGCCCUGCUUGGUGUUGGGGCCCACGGCUGCCGUGGGCCCUGAAAGGAAGUGGCGGGCUCGCUACAACUCCGAGCGUAGUAAUUCAUUAUCUCGCUUAGGGCGUUGGGCGGCGCUCCAGCCGUUAAAGAACCAUCUUUAACUCAAGGUUGACCUCGGAUCAGGUAGGAAUACCCGCUGAACUUAAGCAUAUCAAUAAGCGGAGGA
rnacentral:misc_RNA from 1 species